GGCGGCAGAUGUGUAUAAGAGACAGGUGAGUCAUCGAAUCUUUGAACGCACAUUGCGCCCUCUGGUAUUCCGGGGGGCAUGCCUGUUCGAGCGUCAUUACAACCCUCAAGCUCUGCUUGGUAUUGGGCGUCACCACUCCGGUGCGCCUCAAAAACAGUGGCGGUGCCGUCUGGCUUCAAGCGUAGUAAUUUCUCUCGCUCCGGAGUCCAGGCGAGUGCUCGCCAGAACCCCCAGUCUAUAAGGUUGACCUCGGAUCAGGUAGGGAUACCCGCUGAACUUAAGCAUAUCAAUAAGCGGAGG
rnacentral:misc_RNA from 1 species